GAGGUAACGGCUCACCAAGGCGAUGACGGGUAGGCGAGCUGAGAGGCUGACCGCCCACACUGGGACUGAGACACUGCCCAGACUCCUACGGGAGGCUGCAGUCGAGAAUCUUCCGCAAUGGACGCAAGUCUGACGGAGCGACGCCGCGUGCGGGAUGAAGGUCUUUGGAUUGUAAACCGCUGUCACGCGUUAUGAAAAAGCGGGGGCGAAUACCCCCCGCCUUGACCAAGGCGCGGGAGGAAGACACGGCUAACUCUGUGCCAGCAGCCGCGGUAAUACAGAGGUGUCAAGCGUUGCUCGGUGUCACUGGGCUUAAAGGGCGCGUAGGCUGUGCGGUACGGUUCGGGUGAAAUCCCUCGGCUCAACCGAGGAACUGCCCGGGCGACGGCCGCGCUGGACUGCAUCAGGGGCGGAUGGAACUCCCGGUGGAGCGGUGAAAUGCGUAGAUAUCGGGAGGAACGCCGGUGGCGAAAGCGAUCCGCUGGGGUGCAAGUGACGCUGAGGCGCGAAAGCCAGGG
rnacentral:rRNA from 1 species